rnacentral:lncRNA from 1 species
CUUAAGAUGUUUAUCUUUCCAGAUUUCACAGCAUGAAAAUGAAACGAGGCAUGCAUCCAGUUCUAGUGCAAAUACAUUCACUGAUAAAAUACAUUCAGUACCACAAAGAAGCAGAUUCUACUACCCCCUCCGUUCACUUCUAUAAAUCGUUUCAGACAACUAAAAUUGAGCUGUUUUGUGCGCUGUCUGAAAUGUCUACAACGUCUUAUACAAGUGAACAGAGGGAGUCGCAAACAUUAGCAAUAUAGCCAUCAACUUCAUCUUGGCACCACUCAUGUCCAUCUAUCCUGAUUGUUGUUUAUUGUAUCCAUCCUGUUUAUUAACGACGUCAACACCUUUCAUCCUUUGUUACCAGCACUGAUUGUUUCAGCCAGCCUUCGUAGGUUGCCAUGUCUUUCCGCAGUGAUCUGCAAGGUGAGCAGGGCUAGCCGGAGCGCUCCGGCAAAAUGAAGCAAGGGUGACUCUGCAGCUGCUUAUUACGCCUUUUCUUUUCCAUUUUACCCCAUAGAUCCGGUGUGUGUUUGAUGUGUCCAACCGAGUACAUCUGCAGACGAAGUCGCAUCAGCAUCAGCUGACAAUGAACAAGAACAUAAACGUAAAAGCUAUGUCUAGAAGCAGCCGUCUAAAGUAGAUAUCGAUUGUAUGAUAGUACAAAAUGGAUCCAAUUAAUAAUGUAAUGCAUAGAUAACAUCCACUGUGAUCCAAAAGAAACUGCAUAGGUUCAGGGCUUCAGGCACAUGGUACAUACAUCAUACCAUACGAAAGAUACACGCUUCAACCAGUAACAACCAAACAUGGCACUCUGAGGAUAGCAAAACAGAACUAAUCGUAUGACGAUAAACGUAUUUAUAUACAUCUCUUGGCAAAGGAGGUGGAGCCAUUGAGGGCGACGAUUAUAGAAAUCGGCGAUGAAAGUGAACUGAGGGGUCAACUGACAACAGAUGCAAGAGCUGAACUGCAUGAUGAGAGCUUGAGAGACUCACUCCACCUCGGUAACAGACAGUGGAGACGAGAUGUGGUCCCUAGGGGG